rnacentral:rRNA from 1 species
GACGAACGCUGGCGGCGUGCUUAACACAUGCAAGUCGAACGAUGAACCCGGAGCUUGCUCCGGUGGAUUAGUGGCGAACGGGUGAGUAACACGUGAGUAACCUGCCCUUGACUCUGGGAUAACUGCGGGAAACUGUAGCUAAUACCGGAUACGACCCUCGGCGGCAUCGCCAGGGGGUGGAAAGAAUUUCGGUCAAGGAUGGACUCGCGGCCUAUCAGCUCGUGGGUGAGGUAACGGCUCACCAAGGCGACGACGGGUAGCCGGCCUGAGAGGGUGACCGGCCACACUGGGACUGAGACACGGCCCAGACUCCGACGGGGGGCAGGAGUGGGGAAUAUUGCACAAUGGGCGCAAGCCUGAUGCAGCAACGCCGCGUGAGGGAUGACGGCAUUCGGGUUGUAAACCUCUUUUAGUAGGGAAGAAGCGAAAGUGACGGUACCUGCAGAAAAAGCACCGGCUAACUACGUGCCAGCCGCCGCGGUAA